GACGGUAUCGUACGAAUAAGCAUCGGCUAACUCCGUGCCAGCAGCCGCGGUAAUACGGAGGAUGCAAGCGUUAUCCGGAUUUAUUGGGUUUAAAGGGUGCGUAGGCGGGAUAUUAAGUCAGUGGUGAAAUCCUGCAGCUUAACUGUAGAACUGCCAUUGAUACUGAUAUUCUUGAGUAUAGUUGAAGUGGGCGGAAUGUGUAAUGUAGCGGUGAAAUGCUUAGAUAUUACACAGAACACCGAUUGCGUAGGCAGCUCGCUAAACUAAUACUGACGCUGAGGCACGAAAGCGUGGGGAGCGAACAGGAUUAGAUACCCUGAUAGUCCACGCUGUAAACUAUGAUCACUCGUUGUUGGCAAUACACGGUCAGCGACUGAGCGAAAGCAUUAAGUGAUCCACCUGGGGAGUACGGCCGCAAGGUUGAAACUCAAAGGAAUUGACGGGGGCCCGCACAAGCGGAGGAACAUGUGGUUUAAUUCGAUGAUACGCGAGGAACCUUACCUGGGCUUAAAUGCAGAACGACGUCCGCCGAAAGGCAGAUUCCCUUCGGGGCGGACUGCAAGGUGCUGCAUGGUUGUCGUCAGCUCGUGCCGUGAGGUGUCGGGUUAAGUCCCAUAACGAGCGCAACCCUUAUUGUUAGUUGCCAGCGGGUAAUGCCGGGGACUCUAACGAAACUGCCGGUGUAAACCGAGAGGAAGGUGGGGAUGACGUCAAAUCAGCACGGCCCUUACGUCCAGGGCUACACACGUGUUACAAUGGCCGGUACAAAGGGCAGCUACCUGGUAACAGGAUGCUAAUCUCGAAAGCCGGUCUCAGUUCGGAUUGAAGUCUGCAACUCGACCUCAGGAAGUUGGAUUCGCUAG
rnacentral:rRNA from 1 species